rnacentral:rRNA from 1 species
UACGUAGGGGGCUAGCGUUGUCCGGAUUUAUUGGGCGUAAAGAGCGUGUAGGCGGCCAGGUAGGUCCGCUGUGAAAGUCCGAGGCUCAACCUCGGAAUGUCGGCGGAAACCCUCUGGCUAGAGUCCGGAAGAGGAGAGUGGAAUUCCCGGUGUAGCGGUGAAAUGCGCAGAUAUCGGGAAGAACACCCGUGGCGAAGGCGGCUCUCUGGAACGGUACUGACGCUGAGACGCGAAAGCGUGGGGAGCGAAC